AUUGAACGCUGGCGGCAGGCCUAACACAUGCAAGUCGAACGAGUGGCGGACGGGUGAGUAAUGUCUGGGAAACUGCCUGAUGGAGGGGGAUAACUACUGGUAACGGUAGCUAAUACCGCAUACCAUCAGAUGUGCCCAGAUGGGCUUAGCUUGUGGGUGGGGUAACGGCUCACCAAGGCGACGAUCCCUGGCUGGUCUGAGAGGAUGACCAGCCACACUGGAACGGAGACACGGUCCAGACUCCUGCGGUAGGCAGCAGAGGGGAAUAUUACACAAUGGGCGCGAUCCUGGUGCAGCCAUGCCGCGUGGAUGAAGAAGGCCUUCGGGUUGUAAAGUACUUUCAGCGGGGGGGCGUUACCCGCAGAAGAAGCACCGGCUAACUCCGUGCCAGCAGCCGCGGUAAUAC
rnacentral:rRNA from 1 species